ACCUCUGGCAAACAGUUGGGAAGAGUCACCUGCUGGGGGUACAUCUGCAUUCUGACCACACGACGUGACAGCGACCUCUGUGGCCAGUGCUCGAAGAGGGGAAAGGCAUGAAAAAGCUGUUGCCCUGCAUCUCCAACCUUCAGAGAGGGGGAAAUAGUAACAACAGAAAAAUGGUCCUGAUAUUUCUAAGAUAUGAAAGACACUUUUGCAUAAGAUGCUGUCAAACACAUACAGUGGAAGAAAUAUCUACAUUGCGAACAGCCGCUGAUGGGAGUGACUAACUGCACCAAGCAUACGUGGAGCCGC